rnacentral:misc_RNA from 1 species
GAGACGACGCGGGCGAGGGCGUGGAGGUUGUUGGCAAAGUGUCGGCGGGUGAUGGUGGAGGGACUGCGGUGGUGGCCCUGGAAGGCGGCGAUCUGGGGGCCGAAGAGGGGGGUGUGGGGGCCACCGUAGUUGUCGAUGGCCCAGUGGUAGACGCCGGUGGAGAGGUCGGCGAGGGCGUAGGCGAGGAGGGCGGCGAGGAGGGGGGAGAGGGGGGAUUCGGUAGUGAGGGAGCGGGCGAGGGCGGUGAGGAUGGAGGUGGAGCCGGCGGCGACCCAGGCUCGGUGGGGCCAGGUGGAGAAGAGUGUAGGAUCGUGGGAAAUGUGUG